UACGUAGGGCGCAAGCGUUGUCCGGAAUUAUUGGGCGUAAAGAGCUCGUAGGCGGUCUGUUGCGUCCGCCGUGAAAACCCGAGGCUUAACCUCGGGCCUGCGGUGGAUACGGGCGGACUAGAGGUAGGUAGGGGAGAAUGGAAUUCCCGGUGUAGCGGUGAAAUGCGCAGAUAUCGGGAGGAACACCGGUGGCGAAGGCGGUUCUCUGGGCCUUACCUGACGCUGAGGAGCGAAAGCGUGGGGAGCGAACAGG
rnacentral:rRNA from 1 species